AUCCAUUUCGGUAGCACAUAUACUAAAAUUGUAACAAUAGAGAAAAGAUUAGCAUGAUCCCUUCACAAAGAUGAUA
rnacentral:snRNA from 1 species